CCUCAUUGCUGGUUGGAGGUGGAGCAGCUCCUGCCUCUGAGUGCUGUUUGCAGCCAGUGACUUGCAAAGGAGACCUGCAGGAUUUGGGUUGUGGGGUGGCACCGGGUCUUAUCCAAGGAGCUGGGCUCUUGCACUACAAAUGCCAUUAGCAACCUCCCAACCUGCAGAAGGUCACAGCAGUUGCUUGUGGCAGCCUGGGGAAUUGAGCCACGAUAUCCCACAUCCCAAAUGAGCAUGCCAGCCUCCAGCCCGUGCUUCCUCCCCACUGCCCACCAGCUACUUCAGAUGACAACGCACAGUCAGGACAAGGUGUGAACUGACGUGGUAUUGAUUUGUUUCUAGACAAGGAAGAUGAAAAUGGAUAGCACGGUAUGAGCAUGAAGGAUGUGGAGAUGGCAGCAGGUCCUGGGCAGAAAGUCAAAGCUGUGUUUGAGGAGCCUUCCUGGAGGUUUUCAUUAGUAACAAGGCCAGGGAAUCCACUGCAAAUGUAAAAAUAAUCGAUUUGAGAGCCCUGAAAGGAUGGAGAGUGACUCGCUGUGGAGAUAUUAAGGGAGAAAGUGGGAGUGGGAGGUUCCCAUGGCUCAGUGUUGCCUAGCUGUGAGCUUUGAAAGCUGCCUGAAGGCCAAGGAGAUGCUGAGCAGGAGGUAAGGUUGCCUCCGAGCGGCACUGAAAGGCAGUGCUGAGCACUGAUCUUCCACUGCUGGGUAUGCCUGAGCUUAGGAGUGUGUCAGGGUCCUUCUAGGGCUAAAGAGAAAGGGAAUAGGUGGACAGAGAGCUCUUGUCAAGCAGAUCUGCUCCUUGUUCACUUCUUGGAGAUGAAGGUCCAGUGUGAUGCUCACAGGAGGGACGCAACAGAAGGAUGCUGCUUGAUGCUGGACAAGGCAAGGAGUGUCCGGUUCUUGUGGGGAUGCUGAGACCAUGUCACCUCCUUCCAAGUGACUCCAGCAGCAGAACCAGUGCUGCUCCUGGGCCUCACAGCUGUUGCCUGGCCAUGGUGUCACCUCCUCACACUGGUUUGCUGCACAGGAAGAAGGUGCCACCAUGUCCGGACCAGUCCCUGGUGCCUGGAAAGGUGCAGGAAGAGCAGGAGACUGUUUCCCACCUUAGCACAGAUGUGUCAGCCCCAGUGUCUGAGCAAUUGUAAUCUUGUGUAUAACUCAGGCUGCAGUGUGGGAGCCCCAUAGAGGCCUCAGGUACCACAGGCUCUUCAGGGGUACAGCCCCUUCUCCUUCCAGUACACCCAUUUCUCCUGGCUUUUGUGGUACCAACUGCAUGGAUGUAUUUUCCUGUGGGUUUUUGUCCUGCCAGCUCCAUCUGAAGCUGUUUCUUAGCCCCAGCUCUGUCUGACACAUGCCACCCUGUACGUCCCAUGUGCUGCUGUACUCAUAUCCUUGCCUGCAAUGACUGGAUCUGGUCCAGUCCUCUUUUGCUGCAGCAUCACUUCAGCACAAGACCAUCCAUCCCAGCACUGUCCUAUGGGACCUGGAUUUAAGCCCUGACAAGGAGGAAGAAAAAGCUGUAGUGGCAUUCAAAACUGCUUCAGUUUGAAUGGGAAAAGACCUUGGGGCAGGAUCCCUCCUACAUGUGGACCAGUCUCCAUGCACCAGGCAUCUGGGAGAGGACAGGGCUGUUGUGGUGCCAGUCCUCCAGGUAUGUGCAAAGAGAGGUUUGUAUGGAAAGCAGAGCUCCUGUGAAAGAGCUAAUGCACACAAGCAGUGGUCUUGCAGCCGGGGGACCUCUGGCCACCAGCCCUGUGGAGAUAGAGGGAGGAAGAAGCGGGGUUUAUGUACCAGCUGGGAAAAGGCGGCGGUGAACACGGAUGCAGAUGGAGACUGACUGCGGGGUCAGUUGCCAAACCAGCCUUGCUAGAGCUGCUGGUCAGACCCAGGAGCAGCCCUGCAGCCUGUUGGAGAAGCACUUCAGCUCCUACACGGCUCCUCCUUCGGUGCUUUUCAACAGCUCUGCGGCCCCCCCAAGCCCAGCCCACUGCGCUGGUGGGCCGAGGGGCUGGAGGCAUUUUCCCAGCGCUCUAAUCUAACAGCACCAGUGGGAAUGUUUACAGCACGCUGCCACUUGAAGCCUUAUCAGCCUCCUCCCCUAUCUCCCACCGCCCCAGGCUGAUAAACGGAGGGGCUGGUGGCACCCAGGGGAAGCACCCAGAGCAGGCGAUGGAGCUGGGGACUGCUCAGGCACAAAGCCAGCAGGGCUGGGGUGCUCCUCCGGUGACCCCCGUUGUGGUGAUGGGGAUGUGGUGGAGGGGAAGCAGCAGAGUACAUCUCUUCCCAAAGGAACGCUGCGAGCAAAGGGUUGUACUUGGGAGCAAGCAGUUUCCAGGCCUGGACCAAAGGAACAUCCCAUGGAAGAGAGACAGGGUACAUUGUGGGAACAGGGAAAUGCAGCCCCAUAGAAAUCAGAGGCACACCAGGGAGGGUGGCUCCAGUGUUUCCAAGCAAAGUGGAAACCUGCUGCUGGCACCUGCACCUUGGGCAGGUUUUCCUUAAAUCAGCCUAAUGAGCAGAGGAGAAAAGGCAGCUCACGUGGAGUUGGGCUCCCUGCUCUGCGCUGGAGCCAUAGCUCUGAGAUGGAAGAGCCUGGGAGCGUCUGAUGUUCUGAACGCCGCAU